rnacentral:rRNA from 1 species
UGGGGAAUCUUGCACAAUGGGGGCAACCCUGAUGCAGCGACGCCGCGUGAGCGAUGAAGCCCUUCGGGGCGUAAAGCUCUUUCGACCGGAACGAUAAUGACGGUACCGGGAGAAGAAGCUGCGGCUAACUACGUGCCAGCAGCCGCGGUAAUACGUAGGCAGCAAGCGUUGUUCGGAGUUACUGGGCGUAAAGAGUGCGUAGGCGGUUUUCUAAGUUCGGUGUGAAAUCUCCCGGCUUAACUGGGAGGGUGCGCCGAAGACUGGGAAGCUGGAGUGUGGGAAAGGCAGGCGGAAUUCCUGGUGUAGCGGUGAAAUGCGUAGAUAUCAAGAGGAACACCGGCGGUGUAGACGGCUUGCUAGACCAUAACUGACGCGGAGGCACGAAAGCGUGGGUAGCAAACA